AUGGGGGGGGGGGGGGGGGGGGGUAAGAGAGAGUGGGGUGCAGAAGCAAGAUAAUAGAGAAUCAGAGAUGUGAUAGAAAAAAAAUGUUUUGUCAAAGCAGUUGGUUAAAGAUGUCAGUUUUUAGUUCUUGGAAAAGAGCAAUGGGAUGGGAUAGGCAUUGACAUAGGAACACUUAUUUUUAAUUAAAAAUUCUUGACCUCUGGACAGUGGGGAAGUCAAAACAGUGAAUUUUAUGGAAGGAAUGAUAUUAAGCUGCAGAGUUCUUUUGGGAUCUUAAAAUUGUGAGAUAAACGAGUGAAGCGUUCUUUUGCAAUUGUAAUUAUUGUCUCUCUCUCUCUCUCUCUC
rnacentral:misc_RNA from 1 species